UUGUGAUCUAGUGCACAUUUAGGUUAGGAUUUCUUCUUGUGACCGGUGCACAUUUAGGUUGGGAUUUCUUCAUUUUUUAUUGUCAUAUGUCACAAUCUACCUUCUUGACGAAGAUCCAAUUUCAUGGGCACUCACUAGGAAAGUAAGCCAUUUUAUAGGUGAAUUGCAUUGCAUCUUUGUGUGUAGGUGAAGGUUAACCCUACUCUCACCCUUCCCUACCCCAAACCCAACCAACCAACCCUUCUCUUUCACACCCUCCUCUCCAUAAAGGUGGUAGUAGAUUGAUAUUAUAAAUUGUAGAGUGGUCCAUGAAAACUUUGUAUGGCCAUACUCAUAAUCUCACCCCUCCUUUACUCUCUUCUGCUAUAGCCUCAUCCUUCCUUACCCUCUAUUUUUACCUCCCUCACCCACCUUUCCCUUUUCUAAGUAUAUUAUACAUAACUUGGUUGAUGAUAUUUGAGAUCUAAGGCUCAAUUUUGUGUUCAAGUCCUGGUCAUACUUUUCCACAGCUUUCUUGAACUUCUUAAGCAUCUUAAAGUUCUUCAUGUCCAGAAUCUGAAGCCCUAGAAGCUCAAGAAUGUUGUGGGAGAAUAUGGCAACUUAGGCUUGCUUGCUCCUCUUAAGGUAUGUUGGAUCAGGCGAAGGGUUACCUUUGACCCAUAAUUAAAGGAUAUCUUUUGGCCCAUGACAACCGGAAAGAAGUUGGACUCUGGCUCUGAUACCUUGAUAAUGUUUCAUCUCAAAACCAAUUGGCAGUGAGAGAAGUAGUCCAACAUGUAGUUAAACCAUUUCCGAAGCAAUGAAGUAAGUGAGGUGAGACUUACGUUCCGAUAGCUCCUACUCCUCCUUUUGUAGAUGCAGAGUGCAUGGUUGAAUCUUAUCCUUUCAUCUCAAUAUAUCAUGGUAAAUUUCACUAUCUCAACUAUGUUCUCUUUCUCUAGAAGAAUUUAUGGUUUAAUUGUAUGCUAUAUUCUCAAAAUCUUGAAGAAAAUAUAGACUUGCUAAAUGACAGAUUCACUUUACCUGAAUUUGUGCUCUUUCUACUCUCUGUUUUCUUAAAUGAAGGAAGGAAAAUACUCACUACACCAGAAUUCAACAUUCCUGUUUUCAGUGAGAAAAUUGGUAGGUGAUUCUAAAGCAUACUUUUUUCUCUUGGGUCUAGGAUGAUGAAGAAUAACAAUGUAGGUUUAUUACCAAAUUAAAAAAAAAACACAUGAUAAAGAGCAAAUUUAAUAUUACACUGAAGUUUGAGCCAUGCAAGAUGAGGAACAAUAUUAAAUUUUUCCUAGUUGUCUGUAGAAUUAGGUGAACUUUCUCAUUUACUAGUUUAUUACUAAAAUUCUGAUUCAUUGAAUCAAAUGGUGAAAAUAAAAGUAAAUGUUUGCAGAGAAGAUUCCUUACCUUUCUUUUUUAUCAUUAAUGAUGAUAGUUAUUCCUGUUGCACUUUUGGUUUAGUGAAUCCACAUGUUGUUCUACAUUUCUGUGAAAAAGGUUAACCUUUGUCACUACAUGACAUCAUUUUUUUAACCACUACUCUUUUCUGACAUAAUUUGCCUAUUGAUUGAUUCAUUUUUACAUCCUUUCUUUUUCUCUUUCUUGUUGGCUGUCUCUUUCUCUGUAGAAACCCAUUUUGGUGCUGAAAUCUUGGGUAAUUUAUGAUACUUGUUGUCUCCUAUUGUUCACUUCUCACUAAACUUUCAACUGUAUUACAGUUUCACACACUCAUACAUGUAUACAGUCACAUAUACUAACUGCAUUCUUUUGCAUUAUAUAUAAGGAUAAGUAGAAAAGAGAAAAAGAGAGAAACUUUACCAAAUAGAAGGGAUAAAGCAUAGAUACAUUGUAAAGGUUUAGCCAAAGGGAAUGCAACAAGUUGUACACAGAGAAGUAGGACCACAUGAAUUCAGAUUUAAUCAGGAAGCAUGGCACUUCUCUGCAUCUCUCUAAUCAUCUUCGUAUAAAAAAGAUAUGAUAAAUAUAUUCAUCAUGUGAUUUCAUUGGUUCUGCAAAAAAUUAUGCUAGCUUUUACAUAAUAUCUUAUCAUUACAAAAAUAAAAUUAGUUUAUAACUCUUUUCCACUAAU
rnacentral:lncRNA from 1 species